rnacentral:misc_RNA from 1 species
AACGCAUAUUGCGCUCUCUGGUAUUCCGGGGAGCAUGCCUGUUUCAGCAUCAUUUGAACAUGUCAAAAUCGUUCUUUUUUUUGGAUGAUUUUGGAAGCUGGGCUUCUUAUUGUUGUGUGUUUAUCCACAACUGGCCUGAAAUUGGUGACAAAUGCAAGAAAUAUGUGUUAGAUUGAUUGAAGGUAAAAAGACCAAAAGCUUAUUAGUUGACUGCGGUCAAAUUUGCUGACUAGUCUUUUAACCGAUAUAACCAUCUACAUUCACAAUUUGAUCUGAAAUCAGGUAGGAUUACCCGCUGAACUUAA